AAUAUUGGACAAUGGGGUCAACCCUGAUCCAGCCAUUCCGCGUGUGUGAUGAACGUCUUCGGAUUGUAAAGCACAGUAAGUUGGGCGGAAGGGCAGUGAGUCAAUACCUUGCUGUAUUGACGUUACCGACAGAACAAGCGCCGGCUAACUUCGUGUCAGCAGCCGCGGUAAUACGAAGGGUGCAAGCGUUAAUCGGAAUUACUGGGUGUAAAGCGCGCGUAGGUGGUUCAGUAAGAUGGGUGUGAAAUCCCCGGGCUUAACCUGGGAACUGGUUUCAUAACUGCUGAGCUAGAGUACGGUAGAGGGUAGUGGAAUUUCCUGUGUAGCGGUGAAAUGCGUAGAUAUAGGAAGGAACACCAGUGGCGAAGGCGACCACCUGGGCUAAUACUGACACUGAGGUGCGAAAGCGUGGGGAGCAAAC
rnacentral:rRNA from 1 species